GAUGAAGAACUUAGCGAAAUGCGAUAAGUAGUGUGAAUUGCAGAAUUCAGUGAAUCAUCGAAUCUUUGAACGCACAUUGCGCCCUUUGGUAUUCCUUAGGGCAUGCCUGUUCGAGCGUCAUUUAAACCUUCAAGCUAAGCUUGGUGUUGGGUGACUGUCCGCUUCACGGCGGACUCGCCUCAAAAUUAUUGGCGGCCGGUACAUUGGCUUCGAGCGCAGCAGAAACGCGAACUCGGGCCCGUCGUAUUGGCUCCCAGAAGCUAUCUUCACAAUUUUGACCUCGGAUCAGGUAGGGAUACCCGCUGAACUUAAGCAUAUCAAUAAGCGGAGGA
rnacentral:misc_RNA from 1 species